rnacentral:lncRNA from 1 species
CUAUAGAAGGCUCCUGUAAAAGAAACAGGUACUUUGCCCAUAGAAGGCCUUUUUUGUGUGUGGGUUUAACGCACAGAAAUAUGGUAUUGUCUACGUCUAUGCUAGAGUAGGGGAGCAUUUUCAAUGUCAAGUGUAGCGCAUGCAGUAGCAAAAAGAAAUGCCUUGUUCAAGUAGUUUUCCUUGAAAAAACUACUUGUGCUACUGGUGUUUAUUUAUUUACAAUACUGUUAAGCCCUUAUGGGCUUUUACUAGGUGGUAAUCAUACCAACACAACAUUAACAAAUUACGAGAAAUACAAUUCAAUUUUAUGCUCAAAGGAUGUCAAGCAGUCACCAUCAUGCAGUGGAUACCAUAAUGCAGUGGCACACGCAGCAGUGGAUGAGCUUGAGCCAUUUUCAAAACUGUGUCAACAGUCAAGGCUAUUUGUGAUGGGCUGAGCUCGUGUUCCGCACUAUCAGCAAGUACAAAUGCUCAACCAAUUCAGCUCAUCUUCUAGAACGAAAGGGUUAUUGAGCUUGUUUGUCAUCAUCUCACAAUUCCUUCGCUGCCGCAAAUAGUGCAUCUUCAGUAAGAAA